rnacentral:rRNA from 1 species
AUUGAACGCUGGCGGCAUGCCUUACACAUGCAAGUCGAACGGCAGCACGGGUGCUUGCACCUGGUGGCGAGUGGCGAACGGGUGAGUAAUACAUCGGAACAUGUCCUGUAGUGGGGGAUAGCCCGGCGAAAGCCGGAUUAAUACCGCAUACGAUCCACGGAUGAAAGCGGGGGACCUUCGGGCCUCGCGCUAUAGGGUUGGCCGAUGGCUGAUUAGCUAGUUGGUGGGGUAAAGGCCUACCAAGGCGACGAUCAGUAGCUGGUCUGAGAGGACGACCAGCCACACUGGGACUGAGACACGGCCCAGACUCCUACGGGAGGCAGCAGUGGGGAAUUUUGGACAAAGGGCGAAAGCCUGAUCCAGCAAUGCCGCGUGUGUGAAGAAGGCCUUCGGGUUGUAAAGCACUUUUGUCCGGAAAGAAAGCCUUGACUCUAAUACAGUCGGGGGAUGACGGUACCGGAAGAAUAAGCACCGGCUAACUACGUG